rnacentral:rRNA from 1 species
AUUGAACGCUGGCGGCAGGCCUAACACAUGCAAGUCGGACGGUAGCACAGAGGAGCUUGCUCCUCGGGUGACGAGUGGCGGACGGGUGAGUAAUGUCUGGGGAUCUGCCCGAUAGAGGGGGAUAACCACUGGAAACGGUGGCUAAUACCGCAUAACGUCGCAAGACCAAAGAGGGGGACCUUCGGGCCUCUCACUAUCGGAUGAACCCAGAUGGGAUUAGCUAGUAGGCGGGGUAACGGCCCACCUAGGCGACGAUCCCUAGCUGGUCUGAGAGGAUGACCAGCCACACUGGAACUGAGACACGGUCCAGACUCCUACGGGAGGCAGCAGUGGGGAAUAUUGCACAAUGGGCGCAAGCCUGAUGCAGCCAUGCCGCGUGUAUGAAGAAGGCCUUCGGGUUGUAAAGUACUUUCAGCGGGGAGGAAGGCGAUGUGGUUAAUAACCGCAUUGAUUGACGUUACCCGCAGAAGAAGCACCGGCUAACUCCGUGCCAGCCGCCGCAGUAAUAC